rnacentral:rRNA from 10 species
UUAAGUUAUUAAGGGCGCACGGUGGAUGCCUUGGCACUAGAAGCCGAUGAAGGACGUUACUAACGACGAUAUGCUUUGGGGAGCUGUAAGUAAGCUUUGAUCCAGAGAUUUCCGAAUGGGGAAACCCAGCAUGAGUUAUGUCAUGUUAUCGAUAUGUGAAUACAUAGCAUAUCAGAAGGCACACCCGGAGAACUGAAACAUCUUAGUACCCGGAGGAAGAGAAAGAAAAUUCGAUUCCCUUAGUAGCGGCGAGCGAAACGGGAAGAGCCCAAACCAACAAGCUUGCUUGUUGGGGUUGUAGGACACUCUGUACGGAGUUACAAAGGACGACAUUAGACGAAUCAUCUGGAAAGAUGAAUCAAAGAAGGUAAUAAUCCUGUAGUCGAAAAUGUUGUCUCUCUUGAGUGGAUCCUGAGUACGACGGAGCACGUGAAAUUCCGUCGGAAUCUGGGAGGACCAUCUCCUAAGGCUAAAUACUCUCUAGUGACCGAUAGUGAACCAGUACCGUGAGGGAAAGGUGAAAAGCACCCCGGAAGGAGAGUGAAAUAGAACCUGAAACCGUGUGCUUACAAGUAGUCAGAGCCCGUUAAUGGGUGAUGGCGUGCCUUUUGUAGAAUGAACCGGCGAGUUACGAUUUGAUGCAAGGUUAAGCAGUAAAUGUGGAGCCGUAGCGAAAGCGAGUCUGAAUAGGGCGUUUAGUAUUUGGUCGUAGACCCGAAACCAGGUGAUCUACCCUUGGUCAGGUUGAAGUUCAGGUAACACUGAAUGGAGGACCGAACCGACUUACGUUGAAAAGUGAGCGGAUGAACUGAGGGUAGCGGAGAAAUUCCAAUCGAACCUGGAGAUAGCUGGUUCUCUCCGAAAUAGCUUUAGGGCUAGCCUCAAGUGAUGAUUAUUGGAGGUAGAGCACUGUUUGGACGAGGGGCCCCUCUCGGGUUACCGAAUUCAGACAAACUCCGAAUGCCAAUUAAUUUAACUUGGGAGUCAGAACAUGGGUGAUAAGGUCCGUGUUCGAAAGGGAAACAGCCCAGACCACCAGCUAAGGUCCCAAAAUAUAUGUUAAGUGGAAAAGGAUGUGGCGUUGCCCAGACAACUAGGAUGUUGGCUUAGAAGCAGCCAUCAUUUAAAGAGUGCGUAAUAGCUCACUAGUCGAGUGACACUGCGCCGAAAAUGUACCGGGGCUAAACAUAUUACCGAAGCUGUGGAUUGUCCUUUGGACAAUGGUAGGAGAGCGUUCUAAGGGCGUUGAAGCAUGAUCGUAAGGACAUGUGGAGCGCUUAGAAGUGAGAAUGCCGGUGUGAGUAGCGAAAGACGGGUGAGAAUCCCGUCCACCGAUUGACUAAGGUUUCCAGAGGAAGGCUCGUCCGCUCUGGGUUAGUCGGGUCCUAAGCUGAGGCCGACAGGCGUAGGCGAUGGAUAACAGGUUGAUAUUCCUGUACCACCUAUAAUCGUUUUAAUCGAUGGGGGGACGCAGUAGGAUAGGCGAAGCGUGCGAUUGGAUUGCACGUCUAAGCAGUAAGGCUGAGUAUUAGGCAAAUCCGGUACUCGUUAAGGCUGAGCUGUGAUGGGGAGAAGACAUUGAGUCUUCGAGUCGUUGAUUUCACACUGCCGAGAAAAGCCUCUAGAUAGAAAAUAGGUGCCCGUACCGCAAACCGACACAGGUAGUCAAGAUGAGAAUUCUAAGGUGAGCGAGCGAACUCUCGUUAAGGAACUCGGCAAAAUGACCCCGUAACUUCGGGAGAAGGGGUGCUCUUUAGGGUUAACGCCCAGAAGAGCCGCAGUGAAUAGGCCCAAGCGACUGUUUAUCAAAAACACAGGUCUCUGCUAAACCGUAAGGUGAUGUAUAGGGGCUGACGCCUGCCCGGUGCUGGAAGGUUAAGAGGAGUGGUUAGCUUCUGCGAAGCUACGAAUCGAAGCCCCAGUAAACGGCGGCCGUAACUAUAACGGUCCUAAGGUAGCGAAAUUCCUUGUCGGGUAAGUUCCGACCCGCACGAAAGGCGUAACGAUUUGGGCACUGUCUCAACGAGAGACUCGGUGAAAUCAUAGUACCUGUGAAGAUGCAGGUUACCCGCGACAGGACGGAAAGACCCCGUGGAGCUUUACUGUAGCCUGAUAUUGAAAUUCGGCACAGCUUGUACAGGAUAGGUAGGAGCCUUUGAAACGUGAGCGCUAGCUUACGUGGAGGCGCUGGUGGGAUACUACCCUAGCUGUGUUGGCUUUCUAACCCGCACCACUUAUCGUGGUGGGAGACAGUGUCAAGCGGGCAGUUUGACUGGGGCGGUCGCCUCCUAAAAGGUAACGGAGGCGCUCAAAGGUUCCCUCAGAAUGGUUGGAAAUCAUUCAUAGAGUGUAAAGGCAUAAGGGAGCUUGACUGCGAGACCUACAAGUCGAGCAGGGUCGAAAGACGGACUUAGUGAUCCGGUGGUUCCGCAUGGAAGGGCCAUCGCUCAACGGAUAAAAGCUACCCCGGGGAUAACAGGCUUAUCUCCCCCAAGAGUUCACAUCGACGGGGAGGUUUGGCACCUCGAUGUCGGCUCAUCGCAUCCUGGGGCUGUAGUCGGUCCCAAGGGUUGGGCUGUUCGCCCAUUAAAGCGGUACGCGAGCUGGGUUCAGAACGUCGUGAGACAGUUCGGUCCCUAUCCGUCGUGGGCGUAGGAAAUUUGAGAGGAGCUGUCCUUAGUACGAGAGGACCGGGAUGGACAUACCUCUGGUGUACCAGUUGUCGUGCCAACGGCAUAGCUGGGUAGCUAUGUGUGGACGGGAUAAGUGCUGAAAGCAUCUAAGCAUGAAGCCCCCCUCAAGAUGAGAUUUCCCAACUUCGGUUAUAAGAUCCCUCAAAGAUGAUGAGGUUAAUAGGUUCGAGGUGGAAGCAUGGUGACAUGUGGAGCUGACGAAUACUAAUCGAUCGAAGACUUAAUCAA